rnacentral:lncRNA from 1 species
CCACAUAAGAUAAGAUAUCCCUCUUUGAGUUGUCAGUAUUAAAUUAUCAUGGACUGUUGUAAAUAAAUUUUAACAGCUUCAAGAUAUAAAGUUAAAUUAUGUGAUAGAAACACAACAUAUUUGCAGCAAGGUUAAGGAUAUAUUAAUCAAAAGACAAACCUUUCUCUGUGUAGGAACAAACUUCCAUGGCAUUCCAUCAGCAAUAUUAUUAGCAUAAAAGCAAAAUCUAGAUAGAUGCAAAGUAAAUUAAUGGAGGUUUGGACCGUAAGUACAGUUCUGAUGAAA